CACGGCCCAGACAUGCAUGGGAGCAGUUAGUGCCCAGAAAGAACACGGAAUGCGAGAGUACGGUGUGAUCUGAGUGGCAAUGGCAGGUGCUUCCAAAGCUAAUAGAGAAACCUAAUUACACCUUCACUCAGGCUUGGACAGACAGACACGAGGACACACACACGCACACACACACACAGACAUCACACACUCCACACACCUGCCUAACCCCCGUACCCUCCCACACCGAGUCUUCAUCUGGGAGUUCUGCACCACCGGCUGCCUGACGCUGGAGCUCUGGAUUGGAGGCAAACUGAGGUUCCUCUGUGGCAGAGAAACAUGGCCGCUCACAUGGCUUCCCUCACCUUGGUUCUACGCAUUUUUUGGACAGGAUCAACAGCAAUUAUCAUCUGGACAUUACUUUUUGGAAAGGUAAUUAGAACACUAUUGUUUAUACAAUAUUGAAAAAAUACAAUUUUUUAUUGUUUGAACUCAAAUCACCACCCAGCACUUUAAGCCUACCCUAAAUAGCACCUACAAGAAAGGUUACAGCACAAGCGAACUGCUGGUUCACCAGGUGAGCAAGGUCGACAGGCCAGCAGACACCCUCCCUCCCCCAAGCAAUGAGAAGACAGCGUGCUAGGUUAGAGUUAAAGUACACCAGUACAUGUUAAA